UCCCACCAUCCACCAGUGACACCUAGCAGCAUGUAGUGGCUACCCAGUAGAAUAGAAAGAUGAACCUCUAGGUGCAGUUAACAUGUGAUACAGUCCUAUUAUCGUGGAUCCCUACAGGACGGAGGUCAUGGACAACUCGUCAAACCCCAUCGUCUGUCAUAUGUCAAGAUUUAUUCGACUUGAGUUCGAUAGUGGAAAACUCUUUUUCCACUUUAUAUUACUGCCCUGGCUAAGGUCUUAGAACUCAGUCUAACAAAUCACAUAGGAUCACUCCUCUUCUAUCAAGGUCGAUAGAUUCCUUAUAGGUGCAUGCCCUACUCCUACAGUGAACUUACUGCAACCAAUCUACACUGCAUGGACCCAUAUAGCUAGAGACCAUGUAUGUGUGCAGUCAAACUACAAUAACCUCACUGUGAGUAGCCGAAGCACCGCAGGUCAAAGGACCAGUCA
rnacentral:lncRNA from 1 species